CUGUGACGCGGAUGACGUGAUGACGCGGUGACGGCGGCCUGCUGCACGAUGGCGCCUGUUGCGGCCGGUUCAGCUGCUCCUUCGCGGCCUGAGGCCGGGUCGGGCUUGGUUUACUCACAGCUCCUUCAGCAUCUGGUAGGGGAGCAACGGCAGCCACGGGCCUUGAGUUCUGCCGUGCUCGGCGGAAUCCCCUCACCGGUUAAAUCAGAUGAACAGAAAAUGGUGGAACGGGCGAUGGAGAGCUGCGGCUUCAAGGCUGCGCUGGCCUGUGUUGGAGGCUUUGUGCUUGGUGGUGCAUUUGGAAUCUUCACGGCUGGUAUUGAUACUAAUGUUGGCUUCGAUCCAAAGGAUCCAUUGCGGACGCCAACUGCCAGGGAAGUUCUGAAAGACAUGGGGCAGCGUGGAAUGUCGUAUGCAAAGAAUUUUGCUAUCGUUGGGGCAAUGUUUUCUUGUACAGAAUGCAUCAUUGAAUCGGGUCAAGAUUCUGGAAUUCCCUCCCUCACAGCAUUUUGGGUCAACCUACAGCAUUUGGACGGCAGUGGUUCAAGAAGGCAGCUCGUCACCAUUACCUCAAGGGCAACUGGGAACAGGCAAUAAAUCCAUAGAAUCCCUACAGUGUGGAAACAGGCCAUUUGGCCCAACAAGUCCAUGUCGACCCUUUGAAGAGUAAACCACCCAGACCCAUUUUCUUACCCUACUACUCUACAUUUUCCCUGACUAAUGCACCUAGCCUGCACAUCCCUGAACAUCAUGGGCAAUUUAGCACAACUAGUUCAUCUAACCUGCACAUCUUUGGACUGUGGGAGAAAACCAGAGCACCCGGAGGAAACCCACGCGGACACUGGGGGAGAAUGUGCGAAGUCCACACACAAUCGCCUGAGGAUGGAAUCAAACCUGUGUGCCUGGUGCUGAGAGUACCGUGGGAAGUCAGAUUGGAAGAACAGUGUGCUGAGUGGCUGUGUAACUGGAGGAGCAAUUGGUUUCCGAGGUG